rnacentral:antisense_RNA from 1 species
GUGGGAGCCGGGCUUGCCCGCGAUGGCGUCAUGUCAGUCACAGCAGGUAUCGACUGACACACCGCCAUCGCGGGCAAGCCCGGCUCCCAC